rnacentral:rRNA from 1 species
GUUUGCGAUCAUACCAGCACUAAUGCACCGGAUCCUAUCAGAACUCCGCAGUUAAGCGUGCUUGGCGAGAGUAGUACUAGGAUGGGUGACCCCCUGGGAAGUCCUCGUGUUGCAACCC